CACAUCCGCUCGCCUGAUAUUUUGGAGCUGAUCUGCUCCACCUCUCUCAUCCACUCAUCCUUAUCCGCUUCACCUCCUCUCUUGAUAUGCUCUCAAGCCUCUCUCGAUCUGCUUAGAUCCAUCGCCCAUCAGCACGAGCUUAAGCGGCGACCAUUUUUGUAGCAGAGGCGAGCUCGUCGUCACGUGUGGCUACAACCAUGACCCAGCUCAGAUCCAGAUCUACACCUUGCACUCCCACUAAUGUAGGCGCCAGUGGUACUCCACUUUGCCACAACGACGCUCGCGAUUACGGUGGUCCUCGUAGCCACCUUGUACCUUUUGUUCUCGUGUCUAAUCAAUUCCACAAGGCCUCCACGACUCUAGCAUCAUUUUAUUUGGAGUUCUGGACUAGCGAAGCAAAGCAGUUUGUGACAAAUCUACAGCAAGACUAACGUUUGGUAAAUUUUAUGAUUUUAUCUAGUCACGUAUUUGAAGAAGAAAAUUACAUUGUAUGCACCGUAUAGAAUUAAGAAAUUUGCUUCUCAAGAAUGCCCGGAGUCGACUGAGUUUUGUAAUGGCUGCUUGUAAUAUUAUAUACAGAGGUGUCAAUGCAAGAAACGUAUAAUACUCUUUUAGACC